AAUUAUUAUUAGAUUUUUAAAUAAUUAUUCACGAAAUAAAUUGAGCUAAAUUUUUGGUAUUUUUGGAAAUUAUAACUAUAUGUUACAAAAUAUAUUAACUAAAUAGAUUUAGGGGUGAAAGGCCUAUCAAAUUUUAUGAUAUCUUGAAGUAUAUAAAAUAUAUCAAGUAUUUCUAAUUCAACUAUUGAAUGUUUAGGUUCAAUAGUAACAUUAUAUUUUUUAAAAAAUAGUUCAAUUUUUUUAAGUAAAAUUGAGUUAGAGCAUAAAAUAUACAUCAAAUUUUUAUUAUAUGAAUAUAAAUAUACUACGGUUAUUAAUAAAUAUAAUCAUAUAUAAUGUAAUUAUUAGUAAUAGUUUAUUAAACUAUAUAAAGGAAUUCGGCAAGAAAAUUUUUCAUCUGUUUAUCAAAAACAUAGCUUAUUGAAUAUCAUAAUAAGUAACCCCUGCUCAAUGGAAAUCUAAAUAGCCGCAGUACCUUGACUGUGCAAAGGUAGCAUAAUCAAUUGGCUUAUAAUUGAAGUCUGGAAUGAAUGGGUAAUCUGGAAAAUAACUGUCUUUAUUUGUAGUAUUUUGAAUUUACUUAUAAAGUGAAAAUACUUUAAUAUAAAUAUAAGACGAGAAGACCCUAGAAAUUUUUUGUUAAUAACUUUUGUUGGGGCGACAGAGUAACAUAUAAACUUACUUACAUUUAUAUAAAUCUUAUAAGGUACGUAACUAAAUUACUCUAGGGAUAACAGCAUAAUAUAUAAAAGUUUAUGACCUCGAUGUUGGACUAGGUAAUUAAAUAUUUAAAAGAUAUCUUAAUUUG
rnacentral:rRNA from 1 species